UUGGGUAUUGCACUGUGGUAGAGCACAUGCUUAACAUGCAUGAGGCCCAGGGUUCAGUCCCCAGCACCAAAA
rnacentral:tRNA from 1 species